rnacentral:rRNA from 1 species
GUACACGCUGUGACUAGCAUAUCAAUAAGCGGAGGAAAAGAAACUAACAAGGAUUCCCCUAGUAACGGCGAGUGAAGCGGGAAGAGCUCAAAUUUGAAAUCUUAAAGGGUUUCCCUUUACGAAUUGUAGUUUAAAGAAGUGUUUUCUGUUGAGGUUUUGGUAAAAGUUCUUUGGAAUAGGACAUCAUAGAGGGUGAGAAUCCCGUAUUUGACCUUUACUUUCAACUUUGUGAUACACUUUCAAAGAGUCGGAUUGUUUGGGAAUGCAGUCCAAAAUGGGUGGUAAAUUUCAUCUAAAGCUAAAUAUUGGCGAGAGACCGAUAGCGAACAAGUACCGUGAGGGAAAGAUGAAAAGAACUUUGAAAGGAGAGUUAAACAGUACGUGAAAUUGUCAAAAGGGAAGCGUUUGACACCAGUGUUGUUUUUCUGAAAAUCAGUUAAAGAACUGUUUAUGCUAAGCUGUUUAGACUUUAUCAGCUAUCUGUUUAGUUUUGAGCUUUUCUUUAAUGCACUUUUCAGUUAACAAGUCAACAUCAAUUUCUUUUGCUGUAAAAAAGCUUGAGGAAGGUGGCUUGAGAUUCGUCUUAAGUGUUUAUAGCCUCUUGCCUAUGCAGUCGGAGAGAUUGAGGUCUGCAGCGUAGAUCCUUCGGGGCUAAAUGCAUUUGUGCUAAGUUAUAGCAUUUUAUAGACAACUUGUUGACUAUGAUUUGUCUUGUAGCUUACUCGCUUAUGUUAUUUUACCUACGCUUAGGAUGUUGACGCGCGUGUGUGCGUG